GAUGAACGCUGGCGGCGUGCCUAAUACAUGCAAGUCGAGCGAAUGGAUUAAGAGCUUGCUCUUAUGAAGUUAGCGGCGGACGGGUGAGUAACACGUGGGUAACCUGCCCAUAAGACUGGGAUAACUCCGGGAAACCGGGGCUAAUACCGGAUAACAUUUUGAACCGCAUGGUUCGAAAUUGAAAGGCGGCUUCGGCUGUCACUUAUGGAUGGACCCGCGUCGCAUUAGCUAGUUGGUGAGGUAACGGCUCACCAAGGCAACGAUGCGUAGCCGCCCGGGGAGGGUGAUCGGCCACACUGGGACUGAGACACGGCCCAGACUCCUACGGGAGGCAGCAGUAGGGAAUCUUCCGCAAUGGACGAAAGUCUGACGGAGCAACGCCGCGUGAGUGACGAAGGCUUUCGGGUCGUAAAACUCUGUUGUUAGGGAAGAACAAGUGCUAGUUGAAUAAGCUGGCACCUUGACGGUACCUAACCAGAAAGCCACGGCUAACUACGUGCCAGCCGCCGCUGUAA
rnacentral:rRNA from 1 species